rnacentral:rRNA from 1 species
UGUAUUUAUUAGAUUAAAAACCAAUGCCCUUCGGGGCUCUCUGGUGAUUCAUAAUAACUUCUCGAAUCGCACGGCCUUGCGCCGGCGAUGGUUCAUUCAAAUUUCUGCCCUAUCAACUUUCGACGGCUGGGUCUUGGCCAGCCGUGGUGACAACGGGUAACGGAGGGUUAGGGCUCGACCCCGGAGAAGGAGCCUGAGAAACGGCUACUACAUCCAAGGAAGGCAGCAGGCGCGCAAAUUACCCAAUCCCGACACGGGGAGGUAGUGACAAUAAAUACUGAUACAGGGCUCUUUCGGGUCUUGUAAUUGGAAUGAGUACAAUUUAAAUCCCUUAACGAGGAACAAUUGGAGGGCAAGUCUGGUGCCAGCAGCCGCGGUAAUUCCAGCUCCAAUAGCGUAUAUUAAAGUUGUUGAGGUUAAAAAGCUCGUAGUUGAACCUUGGGCCUAGCCGGCCGGUCCGCCUCACCGCGUGCACUGGCUCGGCUGGGUCUUUCUUUCCGGAGAACCGCAUGCCCCUCACUGGGUGUGCCGGGGAACCAGG